rnacentral:snRNA from 1 species
GCAAACUUCACUAGCAUAUACUAAAAUUGGAAUGAUGCAGAGAAGAUUAGCAUGGCCCCUGCACAGGGCACAGAUGGCAUGAAAUUCAGGAGCAUUCCUUAUUA